AGGGAUUUUGGGGGAUUUUGGGGAAUUUUGGGGGGAUUUUGGGUGGAUUUUGGGGGGAUUUGGGGGAAUAUUGGGAGGAUUUUGGGGGAUUUGGGGGGAUUUUUGGAGGAUUUUGGGGGGAUUUUGGGGUUUAUGAGGUGUUUUGGGAUUUUUGAGGGGUUUUGGGGAUUUUGAGGGUUUUGGGAUUUAGAGGGGUUUUGGGGGGUUUUGGGGAUUUUGAGGUGUUUGAGGGGUUUUGGGGGAUUUUGGGGAUUUUGAGGGAUUUUGGGGACUUUAGAGGCGUUUCUGGGGUGUUUUUUUGUGGUUUUUGGGUGAUUUUUGGGGUUUUUUGGGGAGGGAUUUGGGUGUUUCUGGGGGGUGAUUUUGGGGCUGUUGUGGGUGACUUUGCAGGUGUUUUUGGGGUGAGUUUGGGGGAUUUUGGAGCUGUUUCUGGGCAGUCCAGGGGGGUCCUGGCGGGGUUCUGAGCCCCCUUUUUCCCCCCAGAUCACGCAGCACUACAGCAAACCCCGCGUCACCCCCCUGGAGUUUUCCCCAUUUUUGCCUCAUUUUUUCUGUUUUUUUCAUUUUCCCCCAUUUUUCCUUACUUUUCCCCACUUUUUUCCUCAUUUUUCCCCAUUUUUCCCCAUUUUCCCCAUUUUCCCGUUUUUCCUUUCCCCAUUUUCCCCAUUUUCCCGUUUUUCCCCAUUUUUCCCUGUUUUUCCCCAUUUUUCCCAUUUUCCUCAUUUCCCCAUUUUCCCAUUUUUCCCCAAUUUUCACCUCAUUUCCCCAUUUUCCCCAUUUUCCCCAUUUUUCCCCCAUUUUCCCCAUUUUUCCCCGUUUUUCCCCAUUUUUCCCAUUUUCCUCAUUUCCCCAUUUUCCCGUUUUUCCCCAAUUUUCCACUCAUUUCCCCAUUUUCCCCAUUUUUCCCCCAUUUUCCCCAUUUUCCCCUCAUUUCCCCAUUUCCCUAUUUCCCCAUUUUCCCAUUUCCCCAUUUUCCCCUCAUUUCCCCAUUUUCCCAUUUCCCCAUUUCCCCAUUUUCCCCUCAUUUCCCUAUUUCCCCAUUUUCCCCAUUUUCCCGUUUUUCCCCAUUUUUCCCUGUUUUUCCCCAUUUUUCCCAUUUUCCUCAUUUCCCCAUUUUCCCGUUUUUCCCCAAUUUUCCCCUCAUUUCCCCAUUUCCCCAUUUCCCCAUUUCCCCAUUUUCCCCAUUUUCCCCUCAUUUCCCCAUUUCCCCAUUUCCCCAUCUCCCAUUUUCCCCUCAUUUCCCCAUUUUCCCCUCAUUUCCCCUCAUUUCCCCAUUUCCACUCAUUUCCCCAUUUCCCCAUUUCUCCAUUUUCCCCAUUUCCCCUCAUUUCCCCAUUUCCCCAUUUUCCCCCCAUUUCCCCUCAUUUCCCCAUUUCCCCAUUUCCCCAUUUUCCCUUCAUUUCCCCAUUUUCCCCUCAUUUCCCCUCAUUUCCCCAUUUUCCCAUUUCCCCAUUUCCCCUCAUUUCCCCAUUUCCCCAUUUUCCCCUCAUUUCCCCAUUUUCCCCAUUUCCCCUCAUUUCCCCAUUUCCCCCCGUUUCCCCAUUUCC
ensembl:lncRNA